rnacentral:rRNA from 1 species
GAGUUUGAUCAUGGCUCAGAACGAACGCUGGCGGCAUGCCUAACACAUGCAAGUCGAACGAGACCUUCGGGUCUAGUGGCGCACGGGUGCGUAACGCGUGGGAAUCUGCCCCUUGGUUCGGAAUAACAGUGGGAAACUACUGCUAAUACCGGAUGACGACGUAGGUCCAAAGAUUUAUCGCCGAGGGAUGAGCCCGCGUAGGAUUAGCUGGUUGGUGAGGUAAUGGCUCACCAAGGCGACGAUCCUUAGCUGGUCUGAGAGGAUGAUCAGCCACACUGGGACUGAGACACGGCCCAGACCCCUACGGGAGGCAGCAGUGGGGAAUAUUGGACAAUGGGCGCAAGCCUGAUCCAGCAAUGCCGCGUGAGUGAUGAAGGCCUUAGGGUUGUAAAGCUCUUUUACCAGGGAUGAUAAUGACAGUACCUGGAGAAUAAGCUCCGGCUAACUCCGUGCCAGCAGCCGCGGUAAUACG